CCAAUAUUCUUAAACAUAAAACAGAAGACAUUAAGAGUGGCAAAGGCAAUCAGAAGCCUUUGGAAUUACAUUCAUAGUAUACAUAUUACAAUCUCUUCAGGAACUAUAAUCUUAAUAAAACAUCUCAUUACAACAAUAAAUAAAAUAUUCAAACGAUAACUUGAUGAAAAUUAGGUGGGGGCAUCUUAGAAUUCUUCAUGUCCACAAGUGACUUGAUGAAUGAUAGGCGCGAGUUAAUAUCUGGCUGAGCUGAAUAAUUCUCGUGCAUCUUUGCUCAUGAAAAUUGAGCAGGAAGAAUUCCAAAAUGGAGUAUUUGGAAGCUCACUCAAUAACUUGAUGUAUGCGGUUGGGGUAGGCACGAAUGACUCUUGUACAGGAUAUGUCAUUGUGGUUGCACUUCUGUUUAACAUGAUAUUUAACAUUGUAUCAAUUUGAUUGGAUAGAUGCUCCGGAUUUAUUACCUUUUUCUCUUCUUUUUUUACGUUACUGAGAUUCUCGUUUGAUGGCCUCUUUGAUUGGCUAUUUGAUGGCCCAAAAAACACCUCACGGACACGACUACCCUAACCACCGUUAUCUCCCAUCCCUAGAUUAUCACUAUCCCCACUACCCUCGCCACCAAUACCUCCACCAUAUUCAUCCCAAUUUGCAUAUCCUUGAGUUGAGCCUUAGUCAAUGUGUUUAUCUCCCCUCCCCCUACCCCUUCCGAUCCCCUUAUUCCUUCACUUUCCAUCUAAUUCAUAAACACCAAACACUAAUAUAACAUGAGACAUAACUCACACUACCAACAUCCAUAGUAUAACAUUAACAACCAUUAACAAACAAAACUUUGAUAAAGAACUAACAUUUACUUUUUAGAUUGACCUCUUAUAAUCCUAGAACUGAUAUUAAGAAAUAGUUUUUAAAAAAAUCACAUAGCUCAUACAUAACGUGUCAGUUAAAUCGAAUUUGAACAAGAAAAAUCUUAAUCAACCAUGCAAACAAAUGACAGUCAAAACAUAAAAUUGUCACAUACUAAACUUUUGAACACACGAAUCUUGUUUCAAACAGAGUUACUGAAAAUUACUAAAAAUUAAGCUCACAUAUUCCUAAAUAAGCACAAAAACAUUAGAACCACAUAAAUUAACAGCAAAUGGAACCAUUUGAAUCGAAACCCACACGCUCUGAAACUACAGUCAAAAUUAAAGAGGUAAAGAAGAAAAACCACAUACCAAAUAUUCAAACAUAACACAACACAUAUAUACAUAUCAAAUAUUUGGUCUAGGGUUUGGUACCUAACAGCAAUCGAAUGAGUAGCAGGAGUAACAGCCGCGGAGCGAAGGAGGGAGAAGCCAAGAAAUUGACGGAUCGAGCGCAGAGAGAGCAGAGCAGAGGCUUUUUUUAGGUUAAAGAGGAAAAGAGAUGUAAUUAGCAAGAUAGGAAAUAGGAGAGGAGUAACAAUUUAAUACUGGGAUACAGAUAAGGAAACUGCUCUGAAAUCUGAAUGCUCUUGUAAGUCAGUACUGAACAUGCCCUUAAUCAUAAAGAAAAAUCACGGUCCUGAAACAAGUAACAGGAUUAGUUUUAUUUAGCAAAAAAAAGGGCUGAUUGUUUAGAACAAAAUCUCAAUUGUUG
rnacentral:lncRNA from 1 species